rnacentral:rRNA from 1 species
UACGUAGGGGGCAAGCGUUGUCCGGAUUUAUUGGGCGUAAAGAGCGUGUAGGCGGUCUGGUAGGUCCGUUGUGAAACUCGAGGCUCAACCUCGAGACGCCGAUGGAAACCAUCAGACUAGAGUCCGGAAGAGGAGAGUGGAAUUCCUGGUGUAGCGGUGAAAUGACGCAGAUAUCAGGAAGAACACCCGUGGCUAAGGCGGCUCUCUAGUACGGUACUGACGCUGAGACGCGAAAGCGUGGGGAGCGAACAGG